UACGGGGGGAGCAAGCGUUGUUCGGAUUUACUGGGCGUAAAGGGCGCGUAGGCGGUCAGCACAAGUCAGUUGUGAAAUCUCCGGGCUUAACCCGGAACGGUCAACUGAUACUGUGCGACUAGAGUGCGGAAGGGGCAACUGGAAUUCUCGGUGUAGCGGUGAAAUGCGUAGAUAUCUGGAGGAACACCGGUGGCGAAGGCGACAUCCUGGACCGGUAUUGACGCUGAGGCGCGAAAGCCAGGGGAGCAAACGGG
rnacentral:rRNA from 1 species